rnacentral:rRNA from 1 species
GAUGAACGCUGGUGGCGUGCCUAAUACAUGCAAGUCGAGCGAAUGGAUUAAGAGCUUGCUCUUAUGAAGUUAGCGGCGGACGGGUGAGUAACACGUGGGUAACCUGCCCAUAAGACUGGGAUAACUCCGGGAAACCGGGGCUAAUACCGGAUAACAUUUUGAACCGCAUGGUUCGAAAUUGAAAGGCGGCUUCGGCUGUCACUUAUGGAUGGACCCGCGUCGCAUUAGCUAGUUGGUGAAGUAACGGCUCACCAAGGCAACGAUGCGUAGCCGACCUGAGAGGGUGAUCGGCCACACUGGGACUGAGACACGGCCCAGACUCCUACGGGAGGCAGCAGUAGGGAAGCUUCCGCAAUGGACGAAAGUCUGACGGAGCAACGCCGCGUGAGUGAUGAAGGCUUUCGGGUCGUAAAACUCUGUUGUUAGGGAAGAACAAGUGCUAGUUGAAUAAGCUGACACCUUGACGGUACCUAACCAGAAAGCCACGGCUAACUACGUGCCAGCCGCCGCGGUAA